GGCUUGGAUUGUGUAGUGGUAGCACGCGUCCCCCAUCAGGAUGAAACGCGAGUUCGCUUCCCGCCUGAGGUCCA